rnacentral:rRNA from 1 species
AGAGUUUGAUCCUGGCUCAGGACGAACGCUGGCGGCGUGCUUAACACAUGCAAGUCUAAGGAGAAAGUUCCUUCGGGAGCAAGUAAACUGGCGAACGGGUGAGUAACGCGUAGGUAACCUACCCUUAAGCUCGGGAUAACCCACCGAAAGGUGAGCUAAUACCGGAUAAUAUCUUUCCUCAUAAGGGGUAAAGAUCAAAGGUGGCUUCGGCUAUCACUUAUGGAUGGGCCUGCGUCUGAUUAGCUAGUUGGUAAGGUAAUGGCUUACCAAAGCAAUGAUCAGUAGCUGGUCUGAGAGGGCGAACAGCCACAUUGGGACUGAGAUACGGCCCAGACUCCUACGGGAGGCAGCAGUGGGGAAUUUUGCGCAAUGGGCGAAAGCCUGACGCAGCAACGCCGCGUGAUCGAAGAAGCUCUGAGGAGUGUAAAGAUCUGUCAUAGGGGAAGAAAAAUUUCGUUAUUAACACCAUCGAAGCAUGACGGUACCCUAUAAGAAAGCCCCGGCUAACUUCGUGCCAGCAGCCGCGGUAAUACGAGGGGGGCAAGCGUUGUCCGGAUUUAUUGGGCGUAAAGAGUUCGUAGGCGGAUUAGUAAGUCGAUAUUGAAAUACAAUGGCUUAACCAUUGAAACAGUAUGGAUACUGCUAAUCUUGAAUUAUGUAGAGGUAAGUGGAAUUUCUGGUGUAGCGGUGAAAUGCGUAGAUAUCAGAAGGAACACCAAAGGCGAAGGCAACUUACUGGGCAUUAAUUGACGCUGAGGAACGAAAGCGUGGGUAGCAAACAGGAUUAGAGACCCUGGUAGUCCACGCCGUAAACGAUGAGCACUUGGUGGUGGAAGAUUCGACCCUUUCACUGUCGGAGUUAACGCGUUAAGUGCUCCGCCUGGGGACUACGGCCGCAAGGCUGAAACUCAAAGGAAUUGACGGGGACCCGCACAAGUAGUGGAGCAUGUGGUUUAAUUCGAUGCAACGCGAAGAACCUUACCUGGACUUGACAUGUUUGUGAAACUCCGGUGAAAGCCGGAGCCUCCGCGAGCUUGCUCAAGG